AGUGAACGCUGGCGGCGUGCUUAACACAUGCAAGUCGAGCGAAGUGGUAGCUGUAGCAAUACAGUGUACGCUUAGCGGCAGACGGGUGAGUAACACGUAGAGAACUUUCCUCAUAGAGGGGGAUAGCUCGCCGAAAGGCGAGGUAAUACCGCGUACGAUUCAUUGGAGGCAUCUUCGAUGAAUGAAACAUCCGCAAGGAUGGCUAUGAGAGAGCUCUGCGGCCUAUCAGCUAGUUGGUGAGGUAACGGCUCACCAAGGCAACGACGGGUAACCACCUGGAAAGGGUGAACGGUCACACUGACACUGAGACAC
rnacentral:rRNA from 1 species